GUUUACUUGGCUUUGUCAUAUUAACAAACAGAUCAGCUGGUUCAGUUUUAGGGUUAUUUGGGGGAUUUUAUAAAUACAAGUUUUUCUGCCAAAAAAACUUAGAGAAGCCAAAAGUAAUACAAAAUAUUUGAGGCAAGAAGGAAAUGAUAAUUUCUUUUCGAGAGUAAGCUUUUAAGUAAAGUUUCAGCCCCAGUAAUUAGUGUGAUGUUUUUUGAAAAUAAUUAAACAGUGAAGUGGAUGAAAAUGUUAAAACUGCUGAAUAAGGCAGCUGUUGUAGAGUUUUCUUUGCACAGAAAUCAAUUGCAGAGGCAAAACUUUGUACUCUUGAGAAUGUGUAUUCUCCAAAUUAUGAGUCUUAAUACCAAGAAUUCUUGGUUUCUUUAAUUCCUUCCUUCUUUCAAAGGAAACUUGACCUGAUAGCUUCUGGUUCAUCAGAAUGUUCCUUGGGUACUGAUACGUUUAAGCACUGUUGUGGCUUCGGACAAUUGCUACUUAAAGGAAAUCUUUGUAUACAGAUUCUGAUGGCUGUUUUGUAUUUCAGAAAACUCAAACAUUGUGUCUUGCUUAAAUACCCUUUUCAUGUAGCAAUAGGAGCUCAGGGGAAAGGCACAUGAAUAUAAAAAUUAGCUUUCUAGUCUGUAGGAAACUGUCCUUGAAUAGUGCUUGGAAAUAAAUUUCAGUACAAAUGCAGUUUGUGCCACAAAAAGGAGUAUUGCAGCAUACUGACAAACUCAGGUGAUUUUUAUUAAUAGAUGAUAUUAACAUUUUGUGUUUAUUUUCGUGGACAUGAAUGUGAUACAUAAAAAACAAAUCACUCUGCAGAAUCCUGCUUGUUGCAUGAAUUAUGUGCAUAGUAUUUAUCUGGUUUGGGAAAAAUUGGGAAUGUUCUUUCUUAGGAAAACCUACUACUUGUCAUGUUUCCUGGGAAUAAUGUUCAUCUAGGAUAUCUGGCUGGCCUUACAUAAGAAUGUACAAGUGUCUUUUUCUGAAGAUAGUUUAGGAUGCAUUUGACUUCUAGCAAAAAUAAUUGGGAAACUAAUAAAAGUGACUCUUUGUGGGCCUUCCCAUAAUUAAAAACAAUUGUAGAGGGACGUUACUGCUUUCAUGCAUUUUGUUGGCUCUGAUUGCACAAGAUGUACAUCUCUAUUUUCUAAUUCAACCUAAGAUUUAGACUGGACUAUGUUCAGAAGAAUAUUAUAAAUCUUAAUCUUUAAACUUUGCCUAGAAAGGGGCAGUAGCAGAAAAUCUGGCCAAAUGAACUUUUUGCUUAAAAGACACUUUUCAGAAGAUUGUGCAGCUUGAAGCUGGUGUGGCUGAUAUUCAGUCUAAAGGUUCUGAACAAGAUAUUUCCUGUGUGCAGCUGCCUGCAAAAGAGAAUAGGGAAAUGGGCUGAAAUUCAGAGAGCAACUUUAAUUCUCACAAUCCAGACUUUAAACUUGCAUGGAAGAUGUCAAACGUAAGUACACAAUUCCUGGCAUAAGUAUGUUUACAACUUGGGUAAGCUGCUGUCUUGAAAUACACUGCUUCUGUGUUAAUAUUUUAGAUUAAGUCCCACAUGGAGGCAUUUCAGGGAAGAAUGUUGUCUCUUGCAAACUCCCAGUGCAGCAGCUGUUUCUGUAGUGGGAGUCAGAGACGAAAUGCAGGAAUCCGCUUUGCUUUAGUCUGAAACUGCCCGAGGCUGCAGAGUGUGGGGGAGGCCAGGCGAGGUAUUGUCACUGUUACCUGAUAACCAAGUAGUGGCCACAUUCCAAGUGGCAAUUAUUACUUCCCUCUGUUUCCAUUUUUAUCCUUCUUCAGCACUUUCUCAGUGGUAGGCUAAGAUUUAUUGAAGCAUUUAUUUUUAUAUAGAUAUUGUGGGUGUAGGUAGAGACACAUAGAAAAAUUAAGUCUUUCUGUGCUUAAACUGUACUUCUUAAAUUCAUUUUUCUUGGUAAUCAGGAAACAUGGUGUUUCAUAGUGAGCCCAGCAAGAUAUUAAUAUCAUCAAAGGCAUCCUAAAAUUGUUAAUGCUUUCAUACUACAUUAAGAAGAUAUCUUCAUACAUAAAAAGGCUGCCUAGUGUAGGCUGGGUUUAAAAAGAAUAAUUUUAAACUCUUUUCGGAUGUACAGAACAUUAAGAUAGGGAACAAAAUUCCAAGAGGUGUUUGUGUUCUAAACCAGCAUUAUGGUGUCCAAAAGAACCACCAACUUCUAAGAACUCCUGAAGCAUUAAAAAUUAUAGAGGAUGUAUAUUCUAAUGGUGUAAUUUUUGUUAUUUUGAUAUUCAUUAUAAUCAUUAUGGCAAAUUUAUAGAUGUGUUGUUUGGUCACUUGAGGGUUUCCCUUCUGCAGACUCUUCACAUCACUCCUUUACCCUGUAGGUUAUGAGUUCUGAUUGCUGUUUACUUUGUGCUGUAGGCAGUUUGUAUUCCAGGAAAACUACUAAUAGCUCACUUUUCUUCAGUAGCCUCUAAGUGUGUGUGUUAAGCAUUCAUUUUACAUUAGUUAAGCCUGUGAAGUGACCCUGGAAAUACAUUUAAAUUAUUAGUACGUGACAGAAAUCUGCUCUCCCUUUUGGUAGUCUGUUCAUGUACAUACCAACACAUACCAAACCAUGCCAGGCUCUGCUUAGAGCACAGGGCUGGAUCAGAUGCUUUCCAGAUGCUACUUUCAACUCAAAUUACCCUGUGAAUUUUCAUACAGAUGAG